rnacentral:rRNA from 1 species
AUGAACGCUAGCUACAGGCUUAACACAUGCAAGUCGAGGGGCAGCAUGGUCUUAGCUUGCUAAGACUGAUGGCGACCGGCGCACGGGUGAGUAACACGUAUCCAACCUGCCGUCUACUCUUGGACAGCCUUCUGAAAGGAAGAUUAAUACAAGAUGGCAUCAUGAGUCCGCAUGUUCACAUGAUUAAAGGUAUUCCGGUAGACGAUGGGGAUGCGUUCCAUUAGAUAGUAGGCGGGGUAACGGCCCACCUAGUCUUCGAUGGAUAGAGGUUCUGAGAGGAAGGUCCCCCACAUUGGAACUGAGACACGGUCCAAACUCCUACGGGAGGCAGCAGUGAGGAAUAUUGGUCAAUGGGCGAGAGCCUGAACCAGCCAAGUAGCGUGAAGGAUGACUGCCCUAUGGGUUGUAAACUUCUUUUAUAAAGGAAUAAAGUCGGGUAUGGAUACCCGUUUGCAUGUACUUUAUGAAUAAGGAUCGGCUAACUCCGUGCCAGCAGCCGCGGUAAUACGGAGGAUCCGAGCGUUAUCCGGAUUUAUUGGGUUUAAAGGGAGCGUAGAUGGAUGUUUAAGUCAGUUGUGAAAGUUUGCGGCUCAACCGUAAAAUUGCAGUUGAUACUGGAUAUCUUGAGUGCAGUUGAGGCAGGCGGAAUUCGUGGUGUAGCGGUGAAAUGCUUAGAUAUCACGAAGAACUCCGAUUGCGAAGGCAGCCUGCUAAGCUGCAACUGACAUUGAGGCUCGAAAGUGUGGGUAUCAAACAGGAUUAGAUACCCUGGUAGUCCACACGGUAAACGAUGAAUACUCGCUGUUUGCGAUAUACUGCAAGCGGCCAAGCGAAAGCGUUAAGUAUUCCACCUGGGGAGUACGCCGGCAACGGUGAAACUCAAAGGAAUUGACGGGGGCCCGCACAAGCGGAGGAACAUGUGGUUUAAUUCGAUGAUACGCGAGGAACCUUACCCGGGCUUAAAUUGCAGAUGAAUUACGGUGAAAGCCGUAAGCCGCAAGGCAUCUGUGAAGGUGCUGCAUGGUUGUCGUCAGCUCGUGCCGUGAGGUGUCGGCUUAAGUGCCAUAACGAGCGCAACCCUUGUUGUCAGUUACUAACAGGUUCCGCUGAGGACUCUGACAAGACUGCCAUCGUAAGAUGUGAGGAAGGUGGGGAUGACGUCAAAUCAGCACGGCCCUUACGUCCGGGGCUACACACGUGUUACAAUGGGGGGUACAGAGGGCCGCUACCACGCGAGUGGAUGCCAAUCCCCAAAACCUCUCUCAGUUCGGACUGGAGUCUGCAACCCGACUCCACGAAGCUGGAUUCGCUAGUAAUCGCGCAUCAGCCACGGCGCGGUGAAUACGUUCCCGGGCCUUGUACACACCGCCCGUCAAGCCAUGGGAGCCGGGGGUACCUGAAGUGCGUAACCGCGAGGAGCGCCCUAGGGUAAAACUGGUGACUGGGGCU